rnacentral:rRNA from 1 species
CUACGGGAGGCAGCAGUGAGGAAUAUUGCGCAAUGGGGGCAACCCUGACGCAGCAACGCCGCGUGCGGGAUGACGGCCUUCGGGUUGUAAACCGCUUUCAGCAGGGAAGACCGACGACGGUACCUGCAGAAGGAGCCCCGGCUAACUACGUGCCAGCAGCCGCGGUAAUACGUAGGGGGCGAGCGUUAUCCGGAUUCAUUGGGCGUAAAGCGCGCGUAGGCGGCGCGCCAAGCGGAACCUCUAACCUCGGGGCUCAACCUCGAGCCGGGUUCCGAACUGGCGCGCUCGAGUUCGGUAGAGGCAGGCGGAAUUCCCGGUGUAGCGGUGGAAUGCGCAGAUAUCGGGAAGAACACCGAUGGCGAAGGCAGCCUGCUGGGCCGACACUGACGCUGAGGUGCGAAAGCUAGGGGAGCGAACAGGAUUAGAAACCCCAGUAGUCC